AGAGUUUGGAUCCUGGCUCAGGAUGAACGCUGGCGGUAUGCUUAACACAUGCAAGUCGAACGGGGUCAGAAAUGAUUCAGUGGCGGACGGGUGAGUAACGCGUGAGAAUCUGGCUUCAGGUUCGGGACAACCACUGGAAACGGUGGCUAAUACCGGAUAUGCCGAGAGGUGAAAGAUAUAUUGCCUGAAGAUGAGCUCGCGUCUGAUUAGCUAGUUGGUAGGGUAAUGGCCUACCAAGGCGGCGAUCGGUAACUGGUCUGAGAGGAUGACCAGUCACACUGGGACUGAGACACGGCCCAGACUCCUACGGGAGGCAGCAGUGGGGAAUUUUCCGCAAUGGGCGAAAGCCUGACGGAGCAAUACCGCGUGGGGGAUGAAGGCUCUUGGGUUGUAAACCCCUUUUCUCAGGAAGAAAAAAAUGACGGUACCUGAGGAAUAAGCAUCGGCUAACUCCGUGCCAGCAGCCGCGGUAAUACGGAGGAUGCAAGCGUUAUCCGGAAUGAUUGGGCGUAAAGCGUCUGUAGGUGGUUUAGCAAGUCUGCCGUUAAAGGUCGGGGCUCAACUCCGAAAAGGCGGGGAAACUGCUAGACUAGAGUGUGGAGGGUAAGGGGAAUUCCCG
rnacentral:rRNA from 1 species